UGCGCAAGAAGAUGCAUGGCUUAUGCAGCAAGAAAAUCAAGAACUUCUUGACAAGAAAAUACCAUAAGAGAACCUAUGAUAACACAUUUUGUAAAUCCAAUGGUUGAGGAGAUGGAUGAAGGAACAUAAAUCAGUAAAUCUUUAUGUGGCAGCAUUUUUUGAAUCCCCUAAUUCGUCCACUUUGAGGACUUUGUAUUUAGUAUUUUAAUUAAAAUUU